AUUGAACGCUGGCGGCGUGCUUAACACAUGCAAGUCGAACGAUGAUGCUCUAGCUUGCUAGAGCGGAUUAGUGGCGCACGGGUGAGUAAUGUAUAGCUAAUGUGCCCUUUAGAGGGGGAUAACAGUUGGAAACGACUGCUAAUACCCCAUACUCCUUCUUCCUAUAAGGGAAGUUGGGAAAGUUUUUUCGCUAAGGGAUCGGGCUAUAUGGUAUCAGCUUGUUGGUGAGGUAAUGGCUCACCAAGGCUAUGACGCCUAUCUGGUCUGAGAGGAUGAUCAGACACACUGGAACUGAGACACGGUCCAGACUCCUACGGGAGGCAGCAGUGGGGAAUAUUACACAAUGGAGGAAACUCUGAUGUAGCAACGCCGCGUGGAGGAUGACACAUUUCGGUGCGUAAACUCCUUUUAUGUGAGAAGAUAAUGACGGUAUCACAUGAAUAAGCACCGGCUAACUCCGUGCCAGCCGCCGCGGUAA
rnacentral:rRNA from 1 species